AUGGCUAAGGUGGGGCACGUAGCCUACAACCUGCUACUGCCGGACAACACCAACAUCCACCCGGUCUUCCACGUCAGCCAGUUGAAGAAACAUGUAGGACCCAAAGAUGUCCCUUGUGCUCAUUUACCACUUGUGCAAACAGAUGGCCUGAUUCAGACAGAUCCGGUGAUGGUCCUAGAAACCGAUGAAGCUUCUUGGGAAGAUGCGGCCUUCAUGAAGAAAACCUUUCCUGCAUUCUUCAAGGCCACCAUUGAUCGCUGGUUCAACCUCUAA
rnacentral:rRNA from 1 species